AUUGAACGCUGGCGGCAUGCCUAACACAUGCAAGUCGAACGAACCCUUCGGGGUUAGUGGCGCACGGGUGCGUAACGCGUGGGAAUCUGCCCUUUGCUUCGGAAUAACAGUUAGAAAUGACUGCUAAUACCGGAUGAUGUCGCAAGACCAAAGAUUUAUCGGCAAAGGAUGAGCCCGCGUAGGAUUAGCUUGUUGGUGAGGUAAAAGCUCACCAAGGCGACGAUCCUUAGCUGGUCUGAGAGGAUGAUCAGCCACACUGGGACUGAGACACGGCCCAGACUCAUACGGGAGGCAGCAGUGGGGAAUAUUGGACAAUGGACGAAAGCCUGAUCCAGCAAUGCCGCGUGAGUGAUGAAGGCCUUAGGGUUGUAAAGCUCUUUUACCCGGGAUGAUAAUGACAGUACCGGGAGAAUAAGCUCCGGCUAACUCCGUGCCAGCAGCCGCCGUAAGAC
rnacentral:rRNA from 1 species